GGGAUUGCUUUUGCCGAACAUUUGGUUCAUUUGUAUUCGUAUCAAGUUCCUAAUGGCCUACAACAACAAUUUGAGAUUGAUGCUCAUGAUGGUGCGGUUAAUGACGUAGUUUUUACAUAUCCGGAAAAUCAGCUAUGCAUUAUAACAUGCGGAGAUGAUAAAUUAAUUAAGGUGAUAGAAGAGUUUCUAGUCUAUGAUAGAUUGUAUCUAGCUAUUUGAGAUUAUAAGUGUUAAUAUUGGAAGAAUGAUACAUAUAGGUAUGGGAUUUGGAUGGACAUAAGAUCCAUUGCUUGGAAGGUCACGUAGCACCUGUUUGUUCGCUUCUACCUCGCUCGAAGGAAAAUAUUCAGUUUUUAUUUUCGACUUCGAUUGACGGGAAAGUUAGAGCUUGGAUGUAUGAUGACAAGAGUUUCCAUCUGGAGUACGACGCUCCCGAAAAAUGUUCCACUACACUGAUCUAUAGUGCUGAUGGAACUAGGUAGGAAGACUAGGAAUAAUCUAGAUUAUACUUUUUAUUUUUUGUAUCUUGGAAAGAUAUUAAAAU